UGCUGUGGGGAUCAUGUCCCCCCCCCCAUGCCCCCUUUCCAUGUGGAUUCGCCCCUGGUCCGCCAUCUGAGCAGGAAGAAUGGAUAUUGUGUAUGUAUGCAAAAAGCAUGAC